GUGAAUCAUCAAAUUUUUGAACGCAAAUUGCACUCCCUGGUAUUCCGGGGGGUAUGCCUGUUUGAGGGUCGUUAGAAUAAAAAAUCGAUGCGUCGCCCUUUUUUUUAAGGGUGAUCGGGUCGGAAUUGAUCGGUCUUUCAAAUGUUAAUUCUUUUCAAAGUGGCUUGAAAUUCUUCAUUCCGUUACGAUG
rnacentral:misc_RNA from 1 species